CGAGCCAUGGGACUCUGUCAUGAUGUCCUUUUUAACUCACUGUCAUCUGGGACACACACCCUGUCUUGGAAACAAAGUAGUCCAUCGGCAGAUAUUCGGAAUUCUGAGCUCCCUCCCUGUUUUGCAUCCUUCUUGCGGGCUACCAGGGCGGGAUCAACUGUCUGGGCUUCCCUUAUUCUCUGAAUUAACUCGGGCUGGACUGUCAAGCGGCCCAAACAUGUGACUCUCUUCAGAUC
rnacentral:lncRNA from 1 species